rnacentral:lncRNA from 1 species
CGCUUAUUUUCAUAUUUAUCUAUCUUCUUUAUCGCUUACAGAAACAUUCUGUUGGUAGCUAUCUUUGUAAUCACUUCAUAAGGUAGGCACAAUAUCCUUUUUUUUCUUCUUUAUCUUUUGUGUACACACUGUCAUAGCAGUAGCCUUUUUCUUUAUCUUGAUUUUACUCAGCAGUUCCAAGGCGACAUGAGUGGCAUCCUCCCUCUCCA